rnacentral:rRNA from 1 species
UACGUAGGUGGCAAGCGUUGUCCGGAUUUAUUGGGUUUAAAGGGUGCGUAGGCGGCCUAUUAAGUCAGUGGUGAAAUAUUUCAGCUCAACUGGAAUUGUGCCAUUGAUACUGAUGGGCUUGAGUACAGAUGAGGUAGGCGGAAUUGACGGUGUAGCGGUGAAAUGCUUAGAUAUCGUCAAGAACACCUAUAGCGAAGGCAGCUUACUAGGCUGUAACUGACGCUGAGGCACGAAAGUGUGGGGAUCAAACAGGAUUAGAAACCCGUGUAGU